rnacentral:misc_RNA from 1 species
UUGGUGGCACUGGACGGAG